UAAGCGGAGGAAAAGAAACUAACCAGGAUUCCCUUAGUAACGGCGAGUGAACAGGGAUUAGCCCAGCACCGAAGCCUGCGGUCAUUUGGUUGCUAGGCAAUGUGGUGUUUAGGUUGGUUUAUUGGCAUUUCUGCUUCACCCUAAGUCCAUCAAUGAGUACGGCUUUUGGACCGGCCCAUAGAGGGUGAAAGGCCCGUGGGGGUGAAGAUCAAGUUGGACAGUUAUGCCUUGAGCCAACCUUGGAGUCGGGUUGUUUGUGAAUGCAGCCCAAAGUGGGUGGUAGACUCCAUCCAAGGCUAAAUACUGACACGAAUCCGAUAGUAAACAAGUACCGUGAGGGAAAGUUGAAAAGUACUUUGAAGAGAGAGUAAACAGUGCGUGAAGCCGCUCAGAGGUAAACGGGUGGAGUUGAACUGGAAAUCCUGUGAACUACGCUAAUAGGUAUGGAAUGUGCUUAGCCAUAUUAGUUGACAUUCAGAGUCUACUUCAUUGUGGCCUCGAACUCUUAGGAGUGUUGGUGUGUGUCGCACUUAUCAUGUGCUGUGCGCUCUGUUUGUAUCAGGCUUGCCUGUUAGUUCGCGUUCUAUGGGUGAUCACCACGACCGGCGUUGUCGCCUGUCUGCUGUGGUUAAACCGGUUCGGUUAGGUCAUUUUGGCCUGGCUGGAUCGGGAUGGCAGGUAGCUUAUUUGCUCUUUGAGUGAGUAGGUGUUAUUUGGGCUGACCAGUGGCGGAUUUGUGCGAUAUGUCGGAGAUGAUGGCUUUGGUGUGUGCAUUUUCAUUCCAUUGGUUCGGGUUUGAUUAACAAGUUACCUGCUUUAGUGUAGGUCGGUUAGUAGCUCGUUCCAUUUUGGGGUGGAUCUAGCAUAUGUCACCUAUUUGGGCCUAUAGUCUGUGGUGUAGUGGUAGACUAUC
rnacentral:rRNA from 1 species